AGUGAACGCUGGCGGCGUGCUUAACACAUGCAAGUCGAACGAGUACGGAAUAUAGCUUGCUAUAUUUGUCAGCUAAGUGGCGCACGGGUGAGUAAUGUAUAAAUAACCUGCCCUUAAGAAAGGAAUAACAGUUGGAAACGACUGCUAAUGCCCUAUAUGCCUUUAAUACAUAAGUAUGCAAGGGAAACGCUUUAGUGCUUAAGGAUGGGUCUGUAUGGUAUCAGCUUGUUGGUGAGGUAAUGGCUCACCAAGGCUAUGACGCCUAACUGGUUUGAGAGGAUGAUCAGUCACACUGGAACUGAGACACGGUCCAGACUCCUACGGGAGGCAGCAGUGGGGAAUAUUGCACAAUGGACGAAAGUCUGAUGCAGCAACGCCGCGUGGAGGAUGACACAUUUCGGUGCGUAAACUCCUUUUAUAUAGGAAGAUAAUGACGGUACUAUAUGAAUAAGCACCGGCUAACUCCGUGCCAGCCGCCGCGGUAA
rnacentral:rRNA from 1 species